rnacentral:siRNA from 1 species
GCGUAGAUCUUGCGGAGAGUC